rnacentral:rRNA from 1 species
ACUACGGGAGGCUGCAGUGGGGCAUAUUGGGCAAUGGGCGCAAGCCUGACCCAGCAACGCCGCGUGAAGGAAGAAGGCUUUCGGGUUGUAAACUUCUUUUCUCAGGGACGAAGCAAGUGACGGUACCUGAGGAAUAAGCCACGGCUAACUACGUGCCAGCAGCCGCGGUAAUACGUAGGUGGCAAGCGUUAUCCGGAUUUACUUGGUGUAAAGGGCGUGUAGGCGGGACUGCAAGUCAGAUGUGAAAACCACGGGCUCAACCUGUGGCCUGCAUUUGAAACUGUAUUUCUUGAGUACUGGGGAGGCAGACGGAAUUCCUAGUGUAGCAGUGAAAUGCGUAGAUAUUAGGAGGAACACCAGUGGCGAAGGCGGUCUGCUGGACAGCAACUGACGCUGAGGCGCGAAAGCGUGGGGAGCAAACAGGAUUAGAUACCCGAGUAGUC